UGCUCGCAAGAGAACCGGAACGACAGGUGCUGCACGGCUGUCGUCAGCUCGUGUCGUGAGAUGUUGGGUUAAGUCCCGCAACGAGCGCAACCCUUGUCAUUAGUUGUUACGAAAGGGCACUCUAAUGAGACUGCCGGUGACAAACCGGAGGAAGGUGGGGAUGACGUCAAGUCCUCAUGGCCCUUAUGGGUAGGGCUUCACACGUCAUACAAUGGUCGGGACAGAGGGUUGCCAACCCGCGAGGGGGAGCUAAUCCCAUAAACCCGAUCGUAGUCCGGAUUGCAGUCUGCAACUCGACUGCAUGAAGUCGGAAUCGCUAGUAAUCGCGGAUCAGCAUGUCGCGGUGAAUACGUUCCCGGGUCUU
rnacentral:rRNA from 1 species